rnacentral:rRNA from 1 species
UUAAGCGACUAAGCGUACACGGUGGAUGCCCUGGCAGUCAGAGGCGAUGAAGGACGUGCUAAUCUGCGAUAAGCGUCGGUAAGGUGAUAUGAACCGUUAUAACCGGCGAUUUCCGAAUGGGGAAACCCAGUGUGUUUCGACACACUAUCAUUAACUGAAUCCAUAGGUUAAUGAGGCGAACCGGGGGAACUGAAACAUCUAAGUACCCCGAGGAAAAGAAAUCAACCGAGAUUCCCCCAGUAGCGGCGAGCGAACGGGGAGCAGCCCAGAGCCUGAAUCAGUGUGUGUGUUAGUGGAAGCGUCUGGAAAGGCGCGCGAUACAGGGUGACAGCCCCGUACACAAAAAUGCACAUGCUGUGAGCUCGAUGAGUAGGGCGGGACACGUGGUAUCCUGUCUGAAUAUGGGGGGACCAUCCUCCAAGGCUAAAUACUCCUGACUGACCGAUAGUGAACCAGUACCGUGAGGGAAAGGCGAAAAGAACCCCGGCGAGGGGAGUGAAAAAGAACCUGAAACCGUGUACGUACAAGCAGUGGGAGCACGCUUAGGCGUGUGACUGCGUACCUUUUGUAUAAUGGGUCAGCGACUUAUAUUCUGUAGCAAGGUUAACCGAAUAGGGGAGCCGAAGGGAAACCGAGUCUUAACUGGGCGUUAAGUUGCAGGGUAUAGACCCGAAACCCGGUGAUCUAGCCAUGGGCAGGUUGAAGGUUGGGUAACACUAACUGGAGGACCGAACCGACUAAUGUUGAAAAAUUAGCGGAUGACUUGUGGCUGGGGGUGAAAGGCCAAUCAAACCGGGAGAUAGCUGGUUCUCCCCGAAAGCUAUUUAGGUAGCGCCUCGUGAAUUCAUCUCCGGGGGUAGAGCACUGUUUCGGCAAGGGGGUCAUCCCGACUUACCAACCCGAUGCAAACUGCGAAUACCGGAGAAUGUUAUCACGGGAGACACACGGCGGGUGCUAACGUCCGUCGUGAAGAGGGAAACAACCCAGACCGCCAGCUAAGGUCCCAAAGUCAUGGUUAAGUGGGAAACGAUGUGGGAAGGCCCAGACAGCCAGGAUGUUGGCUUAGAAGCAGCCAUCAUUUAAAGAAAGCGUAAUAGCUCACUGGUCGAGUCGGCCUGCGCGGAAGAUGUAACGGGGCUAAACCAUGCACCGAAGCUGCGGCAGCGACGCUGAUGCGUUGUUGGGUAGGGGAGCGUUCUGUAAGCCUGCGAAGGUGUGCUGUGAGGCAUGCUGGAGGUAUCAGAAGUGCGAAUGCUGACAUAAGUAACGAUAAAGCGGGUGAAAAGCCCGCUCGCCGGAAGACCAAGGGUUCCUGUCCAACGUUAAUCGGGGCAGGGUGAGUCGACCCCUAAGGCGAGGCCGAAAGGCGUAGUCGAUGGGAAACAGGUUAAUAUUCCUGUACUUGGUGUUACUGCGAAGGGGGGACGGAGAAGGCUAUGUUGGCCGGGCGACGGUUGUCCCGGUUUAAGCGUGUAGGCUGGUUUUCCAGGCAAAUCCGGAAAAUCAAGGCUGAGGCGUGAUGACGAGGCACUACGGUGCUGAAGCAACAAAUGCCCUGCUUCCAGGAAAAGCCUCUAAGCAUCAGGUAACAUCAAAUCGUACCCCAAACCGACACAGGUGGUCAGGUAGAGAAUACCAAGGCGCUUGAGAGAACUCGGGUGAAGGAACUAGGCAAAAUGGUGCCGUAACUUCGGGAGAAGGCACGCUGAUAUGUAGGUGAAGUCCCUCGCGGAUGGAGCUGAAAUCAGUCGAAGAUACCAGCUGGCUGCAACUGUUUAUUAAAAACACAGCACUGUGCAAACACGAAAGUGGACGUAUACGGUGUGACGCCUGCCCGGUGCCGGAAGGUUAAUUGAUGGGGUCAGCGCAAGCGAAGCUCUUGAUCGAAGCCCCGGUAAACGGCGGCCGUAACUAUAACGGUCCUAAGGUAGCGAAAUUCCUUGUCGGGUAAGUUCCGACCUGCACGAAUGGCGUAAUGAUGGCCAGGCUGUCUCCACCCGAGACUCAGUGAAAUUGAACUCGCUGUGAAGAUGCAGUGUACCCGCGGCAAGACGGAAAGACCCCGUGAACCUUUACUAUAGCUUGACACUGAACAUUGAGCCUUGAUGUGUAGGAUAGGUGGGAGGCUUUGAAGUGUGGACGCCAGUCUGCAUGGAGCCGGCCUUGAAAUACCACCCUUUAAUGUUUGAUGUUCUAACGUUGACCCGUAAUCCGGGUUGCGGACAGUGUCUGGUGGGUAGUUUGACUGGGGCGGUCUCCUCCUAAAGAGUAACGGAGGAGCACGAAGGUUGGCUAAUCCUGGUCGGACAUCAGGAGGUUAGUGCAAUGGCAUAAGCCAGCUUGACUGCGAGCGUGACGGCGCGAGCAGGUGCGAAAGCAGGUCAUAGUGAUCCGGUGGUUCUGAAUGGAAGGGCCAUCGCUCAACGGAUAAAAGGUACUCCGGGGAUAACAGGCUGAUACCGCCCAAGAGUUCAUAUCGACGGCGGUGUUUGGCACCUCGAUGUCGGCUCAUCACAUCCUGGGGCUGAAGUAGGUCCCAAGGGUAUGGCUGUUCGCCAUUUAAAGUGGUACGCGAGCUGGGUUUAGAACGUCGUGAGACAGUUCGGUCCCUAUCUGCCGUGGGCGCUGGAGAACUGAGGGGGGCUGCUCCUAGUACGAGAGGACCGGAGUGGACGCAUCACUGGUGUUCGGGUUGUCAUGCCAAUGGCACUGCCCGGUAGCUAAAUGCGGAAGAGAUAAGUGCUGAAAGCAUCUAAGCACGAAACUUGCCCCGAGAUGAGUUCUCCCUGACUCCUUGAGAGUCCUGAAGGAACGUUGAAGACGACGACGUUGAUAGGCCGGGUGUGUAAGCGCAGCGAUGCGUUGAGCUAACCGGUACUAAUGAACCGUGAGGCUUAACCUU